GCGGUGUCCUGUCUUUGUCUCUGUUAAUGAUUAGCCAAAGCCUCUUCCUCUUGGAAUUCUUAGAAGGAAAGAGCAGUUUGUGCCAGGAAGCAGCAUUUCCCAGAAACCUUAAAACCUCCGAUGGAAGGGCCUAGAUGGAUCUAAGCAGUGAUUAAUGUGGGCCCAUGGGGCACACUCUGAAGGGGAAGACGCACAGUGCCAAGAGCACAGCUCUGAUCCUGUACCUGUGGUUCCUGGUCGUGACCACUGGGAUCCCUCUCGUAGCUCUCUGCAUACAGUCUGAUGGUGGCCCGCACACCACUGGAGGAACUGAGCCGGAAUAUUAGCCGUGAUGCAUCCGAGAAGAUGAUCCUCAGGCCCUGAGACCAAGAAUAUCCCAAAUGGCUGUUAACAAGUGACUACAGAGAUGUGCUGUUUCCAGCAUGGGACCAAUACAGAGCUAUAGCCAGGUGCACAGAAAACAAAAUAUGUGGCCAGCUGCCCUAUCAAAAUUUCAGCAGAGAGAAAUGACGAUGAUGACGAUGAUUAGCAUCAGGGAUUCAGCCCUCUAUUUCCCAGGUGUUCCAGCUGUGGAUGCAUCUGGACUGUAUCCCAAAUCUGACCACCUACUCCUGCUGUAAGUACGUUGGAUGAAUGGAACUUUAGUUUGCUAUUCUCGCUCUUGGUGCAGGCUGUCUUAUAACUGUCCACUUUCACAGUCCUGUAGGAAUAUCAUUAAGGACACUAUGAAGCUAGAUGUUAGAUUUUUCUCUCAGAAGCCAAGUGUUUUGAAAGCCUUUCCUUUCCCCAAGGAACUGGUUGUCUUUAGCUUUCUCACAGUAAACACUCUGUGACUAACCAUAUUUCCCUGCUCAAUAUGGCUGCCAGGACCCUUAACAGUAAACUGGAAGCUGAGUCCAAGUGGCUCUCCAUGACUUGUGAAGCUAUGAGUUUUUCUUCUUCUGUCGUCUGAUUUAUUCAUUCCCCAGUCUUGCUCUCUGUUUCUUAUUUAUAUCCUAACAGCUUCAUUAUGUGUUUCUGUUGCCAUAAAUCCUCUUGAACAGACAAGGCCCAGAGCAAAUGGAUAAAAACAGGUCCCCAUGGCAACUGGACACUAAAGUGUUUGACCUACUGGGUUUUGUCUUUGGGCCAUUCAUUAGCUCUGGGAGGAAGAGACACACACUAUGUUCACCUCUAUUUUAGCUACAGAGUCAGGACAAUGCCAGGCACAGAACAGACCCUCCAUAGAAACUUGAUAACUAAUGUCACUGAUUACGUGUUCAAUACCUGGAGUGACAAUGCCACAGACCUCACCAGGCAGUCACUGAUAGAUCCUCCGUCCUUAGCCAAUGAAAACAAAUGCAAAUGUUCUCUGUGGCGAACAGGGAGCUAAGGGUCCCACCUGAACAGGUAGGUGUAGAAGACAAUAGUUAUAGAUAGCAAUCACCAGCACACUACAAAUGAGGCAGAUCUGAUAUUUACCAGCCCAUCUUCCCUUUCUACAAUGUCCUAAAACAAAGCAAGUUUGUCUAAGGCAUUAAAGUUAAGUCAGUGUGACUUUCUGGCAAUUGUGAGAAGACUGUGAACUUUGCUGCAUACUGGAAUUAGUGGGGAGAGGAUUGUCCUUACAAAACAAUAGUGUUAGGCCCUUGGCCUAGACAUGUUGAUUUAAUUUGUAUAGGGAAUCCCUUGAGCACUGGGAUGUAGUGGCUCUUCUGGGUGAUUUGGAUGUUGUAGUCAGUCGGGACCACUGCAAUGGUGUCUUCUCAGUGAGUCCUCUGCCUCAUCCCACAGAUGACUGGCCUGAGCUUAAAUGUCAGUUUUUAAAAUUUUAGAACAAUAGUCUAAGAAAUUCUCAGAAUGACCAUGAAGGAUUCCUCUGUAGCCACAGCAGCUAUAGUAGCUAGACUAUCAGAACGACACAGCCAUGACAAACAAACAAACAAACAUAGGGAAGGGCACCUGUCUACUUUAGCAGAUAGGGUAAGAUCUGAGGCAGGGUGGUAGAAAAGUUGCUGCCUCCAAUUUGCCUGCAGCUCGCACCUCAAUGCUGAGAGCAUUGAGGGUUUGGCUCACUCUAAAUCUGCUGCAAUAUCACCUACUGCAUGCAGCAAUCUCUACACAAAUACCCACUCAGCAUCCAGACACCAAGUACCAUGUUUUUCUCUCUCAGAUUUAUCCUUCUUUGAUGACUGUGUGAGGCAGUUCGGAUGUGGUUCAGGGAUAGCAACCAGAUCCACCCAGGCUAGAAUUCUGGCUUGGCCACUUGCUAGCUGGUGGUCUUGAGUAAGUCAUUUAAGCUCUCUAAGACUUCGUUUCCUAAGUUGGAUAAAAAAUAAUACAGCCUUGCCUAUAGGAUAAUUGGGAGCAUCACAUCCGAAAAUGUGUGCGAAAAGGGCUUCGGAGAGUAUCAAUCAUCAUAAAAGUCUUAUGAUUCUUCCUAUGAAAGAAUUGAAUGAUUCUGAAUAUGAUUAGCAAAUAACCAUAUUCUUACUGCUAGUGUCUUAUGAUGGUACACACUUGUUUAUUUUUAUUAUUUUUUAUUGUUGUAUGUUUGUUUGUGUGUGGGGGGGUAUGUAUACAAGUGCCACAGUGCAUGUGUGGAGGUCAGAGGACAACUUUUGGCAGUUGGUUCUCUUCGUCUAUCAUGUGGGUCCUAGGGAUUGAGUAUCGCCUGCCCUCUGGAAUCACUGUUGAUCUUGUCUGUCUUCUGCCAAUUACCUUCCACAUGUCUGUCCCUGAAAUGACUUCUUCAGCAAUAAAAUGUUUCUUUAUUAAUAGUCAUUAGUAACUGAGAGAUCUAAAAACCCUCAGAUGGGGUCCUGGCCACUUUCUCUGCUUAUGGAGGAGACAGGAAAUUGUUGAAGCUGGUUCAGUGUUAUAACAUAGUAAGAGCCUCUAGGUCUUUUGACUCCAGGCAAAUGAUCUGAUGCCACCCCAUACAAAAGAACCCAUGUCCCAGGACCACUUCUCAUGCAAAAGGUCUGACCGUUUUGUCCUGAUUUGUAUGGUCCUCAAAGCUGGCUUACAGCCUUAUGUAAAGUAAGUUUCUGAUAAGUGUUUGAUAAAUGAGUGUUGGAAGGGUUGUUGUUUGGCUUUUUUUUUAAACCUGCAUGUAAAUCAAGGCAGAGAGAUGUGCUAGUUGCUAAAUCCAUGCAGAGCCGCCAGAUGUUAGCUUGGAGCCUAUAGGAGAUGUUGCAGCCAGGCGGGAGGGGGGAACUGUGUGUUACCAACAGCUAUUGGCAGCAUCUGACUUACAAUGCUGAUGUAGGAUGAAUUCCAGAGGGAAACAGCAUAUGGCCUUGAAAUCUGGUACAGCAUCACAUGUGCAGUCAGUCGGCCACAUGAGGCAUGUGAACGUGGAGUCAGGACAACCUUGGAAGAUACCCUGAGCCUAAUGUGGAUAGUAUCUCCCACAGGAAAUCCUGGCCAUUUAUCUGGAAAGCUUCCAGGUAAAAACACUGCCAUGUAACAUCUGAUCCAUAUUUUGCAGAAGAGAACGUGAAGCCCACAGAGCAAGGGAUUUGGAUGGAACACAUAAAAAAAGAAAAAUAACUACACCGAACUGCCUCUUUUUCUUUCUUUAAGUCAUAGGAUUAAUUGGAAACACGAGUUCAAACAUAAUUGAGCAAGGCAGCAGCUGGUCCAUACAGACCUUUGUAUGAAUUACAAGAUGGGAGCCCACCUGGGUGGGAAAGGGAUACAAAGGCACCUCCCCUCUUGGCUAGCUUUGGACUUUGACUUCAGCUUGCCUGUUAGGCUGGGUGCCUUUGUACAGUGCACUGACUGUACAUCUACACCCUGAAACAUAGUCUCACUUAGGCUUUGCCUUAGUUACUUUCCUACUGCUGUGACAAAACAUGGUGACUAAGGCAACUUACGAAAGAAAGCAUUUAGUUAGGUUGGGGUCUCAAGUUCCCAGAGGGUUAGCGUUCAUGCUCAUCAUGGCAGGAAUCCUGGCAAUAGGCAAAAAAAGGUAUGGCAUUGGAGGUACCUGAGUGCUUAUGUCUGAUUUACAAGCAUGAGACAGAGAGAGACCAGUAAUAGGCUUAUAUAAUAAUGUGGGCUUAUGAAACCUCAAAGCCCAUCCCCAAUGACACACCUCCAACAAGGCCACACCUUCU